UUAAAAGCAAUGACGGAGACAAAGCUGCUUAAUAAGUCUAUUACAGCAAACUUGGACGAUGAGAGCAAGUAUAGAUGUAAGUAGGAAAUGAUCACUCCUAAGCUGCCAUACCGAGAUUGAUAUUUAAAAGAUUUAGGUAUAGGUCGUAUCCCUACGUUACAAGGGUAAGAUUAAGAUAGUAAAAUCUAUCCGAUCCGAUUAAGAGGCGGAUAUUUAUAUUCGCAAAUAAGGUGGUACCGCGGAUGCUGUGAAGCUUUCGUCCUUAUA
rnacentral:ncRNA from 1 species